rnacentral:rRNA from 1 species
AUCAACGCUGGCGGCGUGCCUCAGACAUGCAAGUCGAACGCGAAAGUCCCCUUCGGGGGGCAAGUAGAGUGGCGCACGGGUGAGUAACACGUAGGUAAUCUACCUUUGGAUUGGGAAUAACAACCGGAAACGGUUGCUAAUACCGAAUAAUGCAGCGGCACCUAAUGGUGACAGUUGUUAAAGCGGGGGAUCGCAAGACCUCGCGUCUGAAGAGGAGCCUGCGGCAGAUUAGCUAGUUGGUAAGGUAACGGCUUACCAAGGCGAUGAUCUGUAGCCGGCCUGAGAGGGCGGUCGGCCACACUGACACUGACAUACGGGUCAGACUCCUACGGGAGGCAGCAGUCGGGAAUUUUGGGCAAUGGGGGAAACCCUGACCCAGCAACGCCGCGUGAAGGAUGAAGUAUUUCGGUAUGUAAACUUCGAAAGAAUGGGAAGAAUAAAUGACGGUACCAUUUAUAAGGUCCGGCUAACUACGUGCCAGCAGCCGCGGUAAUACGUAGGGACCAAGCGUUGUUCGGAUUUACUGGGCGUAAAGGGCGCGUAGGCGGCUUGGCAAGUCACUUGUGAAAUCUCCGGGCUUAACUCGGAACGGUCAAGUGAAACUGCCAUGCUAGAGUGCAGAAGGGGCAAUCGGAAUUCUUGGUGUAGCGGUGAAAUGCGUAGAUAUCAAGAGGAACACCUGAGGUGAAGACGGGUUGCUGGGCUGACACUGACGCUGAGGCGCGAAAGCCAGGGGAGCAAACGGGAUUAGAUACCCCGGUAGUCCUGGCCCUAAACGAUGAAUACUUGGUGUCUGGAGUUUUUAUGCUUCGGGUGCCGUAGCUAACGUUUUAAGUAUUCCACCUGGGGAGUACGUACGCAAGUAUGAAACUCAAAGGAAUUGACGGGGACCCGCACAAGCGGUGGAGCAUGUGGUUUAAUUCGACGCAACGCGAAGAACCUUACCUGGACUAGAAUGUGAGGGAAGGGCGUCUAACAGCGUCCGUCCGAGCAAUCGGACCCAAAACAAGGUGCUGCAUGGCUGUCGUCAGCUCGUGUCGUGAGAUGUUGGGUUAAGUCCCGCAACGAGCGCAACCCUUAUUGACAGUUGCCAAUAUUAAGUUAGGAACUCUGUCAAGACUGCCGUUGAUAAAACGGAGGAAGGUGGGGACGAUGUCAAGUCAUCAUGGCCUUUAUGUUCAGGGCUACACACAUGCUACAAUGGAUGGUACAAAACGUCGCAAUCCCGUAAGGGGGAGCUAAUCGCAAAAACCAUUCUCAGUUCGGAUCGGAGUCUGCAACUCGACUCCGUGAAGUUGGAAUCGCUAGUAAUCGCAAAUCAGCAUGUUGCGGUGAAUACGUUCCCGGGUCUUGCACACACCGC